GAACGAACGUUAGCGGCGCGCCUAACACAUGCAAGUCGAGCGAGAAGGAAGCAAUUCCUGUAAAGCGGCGCACGGGUGAGUAACACGUAGGUAAUCUACCUCGAAGUGGUGGAUAACCUUCCGAAAGGAGGGCUAAUACAGCAUGAGACCACGGUUUCGAAAGAGAUUGAGGUCAAAGCGGGCCACUAUACAUAAGCUCGCGCUUCGAGAUGAGCCUGCGGCCCAUCAUGGUAGUUGGUAGGGUAAUGGCCUACCAAGCCGAAGACGGGUAGCUGGUCUGAGAGGAUGAUCAGCCACACUGGAACUGAGACACGGUCCAGACUCCUACGGGAGGCAGCAGGUGGGGAAUCUUGCGCAAUGGGCGAAAGCCUGACGCAGCGACGCCGCGUGAGUGAUGAAGGCCUCGGUGUAAGUAC
rnacentral:rRNA from 1 species